rnacentral:miRNA from 14 species
CCCGGCAAUCACCGUGCAUUUUC